CGCCGUCGACCCCACGCCACGCAGAGGUGAAGAUACGCAGGACGUCCUCUAAAGCAACUUCCGUGGGUGCCAGGUUGUGGGCUGGGGGCGGUGCUGACCUUGAGAGAGCGGAGGAGGCGCAGGCGCAGCACAGUUUAAACUUGAUUUUGUGAGGGGACGAACAGCGUGACAAUUAAAAGAAGAUCUGGGAAUCAAAAGCUUCCUGAGGCCUUCACCAGAAGCAGAUGCUGGUGCCGUGCUUCUACAGCCUGCAGAACUGAAGGACUUUACAGCUUCUCUUUCGCAUAUCCAAAUUGCCAGCAUCACCGCUCUUGCACUCCAAGCCAUUAUUAAGUAAAGUAAAGAACACAAACACUGUGAUACUGCUACACUUGAUCUGAUAACCAAGAAGUCUACUAAGUGACUAACAGCAGAGCAACUGGGAACCUAAUUCUGACCAAAAAGGAGGAAUUGUUUGGCUAAUUGGAAGUGACAGAAACCUUGGGAGAAAGCAACCGCAUACCAAGGAUAAUUAUAAGAAGAAGAGAAGACAUGGAGAAGAGGAGGGAGUAGUUGUGACCGUGGAGGCAGAGAAUGGAGUAAUGUGAUCAUAAAUCAAGGAAUGCUGACAGCCACUAAAGCUGGAGAAGGCCAAGGACAGAUAUUCAAUCCUCCCGUAGAAGUACAGCCCUGCUAAUGCAUUGAUUUUGGACUUCUGGCCUCAGAACUGUCUGGAAAGCAUGGAAAUUUGUAUCUUCAUUCACUUUUGUUUUCAUGGACUCUUUUCAUGUUUGAACUUUUCAUGGAGACCAGGCCUCAAUCUGUCACCAAGGCUGGAGUGCAGAGACAUGAUCAUAGCUCACUGCAACCUGGAACUCAUGGGCUCAAGCAAUUCUCCCGCCUCAGACUCCCGAGUAGCUGGGACUAUAGGCAUGUGCCAUCACACCCAGCUAAUUUCUCUGCAUAACUUUAGGGCACUGCCCAACUCAAGUAAUGAGGGCUAAAAAGAUGACUUCUCCCGGUACUCUAUAUACCCUUGUCAAUGAUAAACCAGGCUGGCCUUUUCAAAGAUGCAUCCUUAGAUCUUUGCAAAUUUCCAAAUUACUCAAUACCACCAAAGUAUAUAAUUAUUCUCCGCUACUCUAAUAUAGAAUAUUAUAAUUUUAUCAGAGCAACUACACAUACUAUUAGUCAAAAACUACAAAAACAUCAUGAAAUGGUAAUGCUAGGUAAUUCUUUAGGCUCACUUGUUACCUACAAUACUUUUACCUUCACAUCAACCUUGCAUAAUAAUGUAACUGUUUAGUCUUUUUUUAAUGCACGG
rnacentral:lncRNA from 1 species